GGCAGCAGUGGGGAAUUUUCCGCAAUGGGCGCAAGCCUGACGGAGCAAGACCGCGUGAGGGAGGAAGGCUCUUGGGUUGUAAACCUCUUUUAUCAGGGAAGAAGAUCUGACGGUACCUGAUGAAUCAGCAUCGGCUAACUCCGUGCCAGCAGCCGCGGUAAUACGGAGGAUGCAAGCGUUAUCCGGAUUUAUUGGGCGUAAAGCGUCCGCAGGUGGUUUUUCAAGUCUGCUGUUAAAGCGCAGAGCUUAACUCUGUAACGGCGGUGGAAACUGAGAGACUAGAGUAUGGUAGGGGUUGCGGGAAUUCCCAGUGUAGCGGUGAAAUGCGUAGAUAUUGGGAAGAACACCAGCGGCGAAAGCGCGCAACUGGGCCAUUACUGACACUCAUGGACGAAAGCUAGGGGAGCGAAAGGGAUUAGAUACCCCUGUAGUCCUAGCUGUAAACGAUGGGUACUAGGUGUUGACCGUAUCGACCCGGUCAGUGCCGUAGCUAACGCGUUAAGUACCCCGCCUGGGGAGUAUGCACGCAAGUGUGAAACUCAAAGGAAUUGACGGGGGCCCGCACAAGCGG
rnacentral:rRNA from 1 species